UUUCACUCGUAAAGACAACCCGGAAACGUUACAGAUGCAUUCAAUUGUUGUCGUUCACGAACUUCUUAAACUCCUUCAACUCAUGCCAAGCACGAUUCCUCAUUCCCGUAAAUAUCAUCCUUUCAUAUCUCACAGAAUAUGAUUGAGCUACUGAAAUCUCAUGGCAGUUUAUCUUAUAUUCAAUGUUUCUCGAUGCGUUUAGGGAGAUGGGUGAAGUUGUGUCGGUUCGUUUCUGUAGGGAUAUGGCACUUGGAGAUCGCAUUAAUUUGUCAAUUUCACCAGUUUCCAAGAUGGGAUUAGAGGACCGGGAAGAACAAAAGUGUUGUCUUUUUUUCCAGAAAAUCUGUAAUUAGGCUGAGCUUCGAUGCAGAGGCUGGCAAUGAGUUCACAACUCUGCUCUGUCUCAGAUUUGGUGAAAGAUUAGUCGACUAGAGAGCGAAUAUAGAGGCUUGGCAAUUGCUUGCUCGAUCUAUAGUUGUUUUCACGUCGAUUUGAUUUUAAUUUUUUUUUUGUAGGAUGCUGGAAAAGAUGUGUUGGAGAGCUAUUCAAGAGGACUGACGAUGUUCUCUAUGUGGACAAAACCAUGAGAGGUAUUGAAUAAGUUAAUAGGGUUUAGACUAUACGUCUACGUUUCUUCUUUUUCUUAUGUUCUCUUAUGCCUCCUAUAAAUUAAAUUUAGAUUUUUUAAAAUAUGUCAAGCAUGGAAAAAUAUAUUCAGUUUCUUUUACUCAAAUUCUGGGUAUAAUAAGCCAUGUUCAUCAAGAAGGAAGGGAACAACGACCCAAGCUCCUUUGCUCCUUUGAUUCUCACUUUCCAGAGAUCUCUCAUGAUGCAACAGUAGACCCACUUGAGCUGUCAUCGUCCACUGAACAAUUGCUUAACCCGUCUUCCAAAAGCCUCCAUGGGUCACCCACAUCCCUGCUGUCUGGUUCUUACUGUUGACACGGGGAGUUUAUUUGAUUGAGCUCAGCAGAAGAUCUCGAGGGUCGAACAAGUGUGAGUGCGGUCAGCUGAACAGAUGUGGCUGACUCGAGAGAGAUAAAUGUAGGAAGGAAGGAGGAUUGGCAUCUGCUCGGAUCCACCAUCUAAUGGUGUUUGGCAACUGCACCCGCAUAAGUUCCUUCUACAUUAUUGUCAAGGAAAAGCCUAGCAACUUCAACGAUCGUAAGUUUCAGUCAACAAGACUGUCUAUGGAGGUUUUAUAGAUUAUUUUUUAGGAACCUAUAACCUUUAUACUGCAUCACAACCGAACAAGAUAGCGUCUUGGAUGAUUCAUUAUGAAAAGACCUUGGUUUUAGCCAAAUUUUGCUGGAGAUUAACCGUCAAAUUAGACAUCAAGAAUGGGUCACUACGGGAAGAACAUACAACAUAAUUUUCAUAAACUACUUGGCUAACAAGCAAAAGAACUAAUGUACCCAAAUAUAAUGAGAAUAGUAUAUUAUUUGUUUGAUGCAUCUGGUAUUAGAC